rnacentral:sRNA from 1 species
CAACGACAACGACGAAGACGACGACGCUUGUAAUCAUUUUCAUGGAAAUGUCCAUGCCUGUAAACAUUAUUGAGGAGGAAAUCGUGGUAAAAUUCUGGAACUCAGUAGACGAUCGCAGCUAUCCUUGUUAAUGUGGGAGUCGGGGCUUGUAUGUCCUGUCUAAUCCAGAACAUUUAUUCUGGAUCUCACCAGCCCAGAAACACAACCAGCACAGAACCCAAGAGCCCUGCAUAGCACAGGUUUGAAAUGCCUUUGUGACUAUGGAAAUCUGUUGGAGGUUCUCCUUUCAAGGUGAUAUCACCACAUUCUGUGCAGAUCAGAGGCAUCUUUAAGAAUAUGGACAGGGAAUGCCGAAGUUGGGGACAGAAGAAAUGGGCUGAAAAUUUUUUCUCCAAAAGACCGUGUAACCUUUUGAUAAAGGUUCAGCAAGGAGCCAUCCAAGAGAAGCAUUUUGCUUGCUCAACUACAAGACACUCUAGACUCUUCUUAUCUCACUAGGCAGAGCGACCUGGAGAGACCAACAGAAUGGAGAGCUGGUGGCAGAGGGCACAGUGAUAAUGGGCGGGAGAACAGCUGGACUUGACCCCUCAUGCGGUGCUUCUCAAGACCCUCCUGACACUGAAGAGGUCCAGUGCUAAGAGCCUGUGGAAUGGGAUCUCCAGGGAGAACUCUGUGAAUGCUAAUGAGGAAAAUAAGAAACUCUGGAGGGAGACAGGAGGGAGAGAGAGAAGCCAUGGCAGGACAAUAGAG